UGGAAUAGUAACCUUACUGCAUGCAUGUCUUGAUAUGAAAGCGAUCAUAUUGGGAAAUAUCAUUAUGUUCUUUACUUCCUCGUUUUGGCAAUGCAGCCAAGAAUGCUACUGACAGUAGAUGAGAACUUGAAACCUCUGUCAGUACCUGUGCGGGUGGGCCAAGCUGUCGAUGUUGUUGGCCAGGCAGGUCGACCCAAGACCAUUACUGGUUUCCAGACCCACUCAACACCGGUUCUUCUGGCUGCUGGUGAUAGAGCGGAGCUUGCUACUGAGAAACUCCAUUGAAGCUAGACCUGCUUCCUACAGAAGCUAGAAUAAGCGGCAAGGAAUACAAGGAGAGAGUUGUUAACAAUCUCAAGAUUUUAAUUGUGCAUUACUCGGUGCACCAGUCACAUUCUAAAGCAGUGAAGAGAGCCAUCAGUGAACAUUGUGGUGUAUGGACAAUCUCAAUGCUUAGUUACUUUUACUGUUUCCAGUGCAUUGGUAUAAGUUUGCUGAUCUGCUAUACUAAUUUGCUAUUCUUCUGGUGCUGCUGUGAUGUUGCUGCUGUUGCUGAGAUGCUGUGGUGAUGCUGCUGUGAUGGUGAUUGUUACGAUGAGGUGCUGCGGUGUUGUUGUUGGAUGUUUGCUGGUGUUGUUGAUGUUUGGAAGGGUGUAGGACUUUUUGUCCAAUCUGUAAUAGAUUAGGUUUUCAUUAAUGGGGGUUGUCAUUAGGUGUAAGUUCGGGCAACUGCUGGUGUUUUGGAUGGAAGGGUAUGGAGGGGUAUUUUGUGUGAUUUCAUAUCCAUGUUAUUAGUUUGUUAUAGUGGUGCCUGA